rnacentral:rRNA from 1 species
AUGGCGCCGGUGGUGAGCGCUUCACUGGGCACGUUGGGUCCCCUCCUGGUGAAGCUCACCGCUUUUCUUGCCGGUGAGUGCGGCUGCCUGAAAGGGGUCCGUCGCGAGAUCCGCUCCCUCAAAUCCGAGCUGACUAGCAUGCAUGCUGCGGUCCAGAAGUACACCAUGCUAGUUGAUCCAGAUGUCGAAGUGAAGGCAUGUAUAUCGCUGGUGAGAGAGCUGGCCUAUGACAUCGAAGAUUGUGUCGACAAGUUCAUUCAUCAGCUUGGCAGUGGCGGGCGCCAUGGAAGCUUCAUGGACUUCUUUCGCAAGACUGCUCACCGUCUAAAGACACUUGGGUCUCGGCGUGGAAUCACAACCAAGUUGAUGAUCUGA